AGUCGAANGAUGAAGCCCUUCGGGGNGGAUUAGUGGCGAACGGGUGAGUNNCACGUGGGCGAUCUGCCCUUCACUNUGGGACAAGCCCUGGAAACGGGGUCUAAUACCGGAUAACACUCCUGCCCGCAUGGGUGGGGGUUAAAAGCUCCGGCGGUGAAGGAUGAGCCCGCGGCCUAUCAGCUUGUUGGUGAGGUAGUGGCUCACCAAGGCGACGACGGGUAGCCGGCCUGAGAGGGCGACCGGCCACACUGGGACUGAGACACGGNNAAGACUCNUACGGGAGGCAGCAGUGGGGAAUAUUGCACAAUGGGCGAAAGCCUGAUGCAGCGACGCCGCGUGAGGGAUGACGGCCUUCGGGUUGUAAACCUCUUUCAGCAGGGAAGAAGCGAAAGUGACGGUACCUGCAGAAGAAGCGCCGGCUAACUACGUGCCAGCAGCCGCGGUAAUACGUAGGGCGCAAGCGUUGUCCGGAAUUAUUGGGCGUAAAGAGCUCGUAGGCGGCUUGUCACGUCGGGUGUGAAAGCCCGGGGCUUAACCCCGGGUCUGCAUUCGAUACGGGCUAGCUAGAGUGUGGANGGGGAGAUCGGAAUUCCUGGUGUAGCGGUGAAAUGCGCAGAUAUCAGGAGGAACACCGGUGGCGAAGGCGGAUCUCUGGGCCAUUACUGACGCUGAGGAGCGAAAGCGUGGGGAGCGAACAGGAUUAGAUACCCUGGUAGUCCACGCCGUAAACGGUGGGAACUAGGUGUUGGCGACAUUCCACGUCGUCGGNGCCGCAGCUAACGCAUUAAGUUCCCCGCCUGGGGAGUACGGCCGCAAGGCUAAAACUCAAAGGAAUUGACGGGGGCCCGCACAAGCAGCGGAGCAUGUUGCUUNAAUUCGACGCAACGCGAAGAACCUUACCAAGGCUUGACAUACACCGGAAAACGGCCAGAGAU
rnacentral:rRNA from 1 species